rnacentral:rRNA from 1 species
UACGUAGGGGCCGAGCGUUGUCCGGAGUUACUGGGCGUAAAGCGCGCGCAGGCGGUCGUUCAAGUCGAGUGUGAAAGCCCCCGGCUCAACUGGGGAGGGUCACUCGAUACUGAUCGACUUGAAGGCAGGAGAGGGAAGCGGAAUUCCCGGUGUAGUGGUGAAAUGCGUAGAUAUCGGGAGGAACACCAGUGGCGAAGGCGGCUUCCUGGCCUGUUCUUGACGCUGAGGCGCGAAAGCUAGGGGAGCAAACGGG